rnacentral:rRNA from 1 species
UACGUAGGGGGCAAGCGUUGUCCGGAAUCAUUGGGCGUAAAGCGCGUGUAGGCGGCUUGGUAAGUCUGCUCUGAAACCCGGGGCUCAACCCCGGGAGGCGGGUGGAUACUGUCAAGCUCGAGUCCGGAAGAGGAGUGUGGAAUUCCUGGUGUAGCGGUGAAAUGCGCAGAUAUCAGGAGGAACACCAAUGGCGAAGGCAGCACCUCUGGGACGUGACUGACGCUGAGACGCGAAAAGCGU